ensembl:lncRNA ETV5-AS1 ETV5 antisense RNA 1
AGAUAAAGAGGUCAGGUUUGGAGUGUGCAGAGAAGGUUCCCUUCACACACUUUUUUGACAAAUGAAUGACUCUGGACAAGUUACUCCUGAUGCCUCAAUGCCUGUAGAAAUGUAAAAACCACCUGCAGUGUAACCAGGAGAUUUCUAUUUCAAAAGCAGAUGUACAAAUAAGGCAAAUCUAUGUUUAUCUUCUAGAGCAAAGAAUGAUUUAAAAUUAAAGCUUCAUUCCUGGGGCCUGGAUAUUCUUAAGUAAAGGGCACAAGCUUCAAGACUUUUUCAUAUAUUCUGAUUUGGAGAUUACUUCUCUGGUGCUUAAAGUUCACAUUAACAUAUGAUAGACAUGAAGAAGUAUAUAUUACCUGCCUCAAAGCCACAGAUCAAGUAUCCCAGGAUUGAGACUCUUUCCCUAGAAGGACUGGGUACCCUAUGAACUUAGUGCUCUGUAGAGCCACAAGGUUUUUAAUGGUUUUCUUUUGUGUGCAGUACAAUGAUCCCAAGGGGACUGGACUACACCCGGAGGAUGACACUGCCAUGAAAGAAGGAUAUGUUUUACCACAGGG